CCUUUGUACACACCGCCCGUCGCUACUACCGAUUGAAUGGCUUAGUGAGGUCUCUGGAUUGACGCUGAGGAGCCGGCAACGGCACCUCGUUGUUGAGAAGUUGAUCAAACUUGGUCAUUUAGAGG
rnacentral:rRNA from 1 species